rnacentral:rRNA from 1 species
GACGAACGCUGGCGGCGUGCUUAACACAUGCAAGUCGAACGGAAAGGCCCCUUUGGGGGUACUCGAGUGGCGAACGGGUGAGUAACACGUGAGUAACCUGCCCUUGACUUCGGGAUAACUUCAGGAAACUGGGGCUAAUACCGGAUAGGAAUCCUUGCUGCAUGGUGGGGGUUGGAAAGCUUCGGCGGUUUUGGAUGGACUCGCGGCUUAUCAGCUUGUUGGUGGGGUAGUGGCUUACCAAGGCUUUGACGGGUAGCCGGCCUGAGAGGGCGACCGGCCACAUUGGGACUGAGAUACGGCCCAGACUCCGACGGGAGGCAGCAGUGGGGAAUAUUGCACAAGGGGCGGAAGCCGGAUGCAGCAACGCCGCGGGCGGGAGGACGGCCUUCGGGUUGGAAACCGCUUUCAGCAGGGGCGAAGCUUGUGGUGACGGUACCUGCAGAAGAAGCACCGGCUAACUACGUG